AGUGAACGCUGGCGGCGUGCCUAAUACAUGCAAGUCGAACGAAGUGGCGCACGGGUGGGUAAUAUAUAUUUAAUCUGCCCUCCACAGAGGAACAACAGUUGGAAACGGCUGCGACUACUCCAUAGUGUAGGAUGAGACUAUAUCGUAUCAGCUAGUUGGUAAGGUAAUGGCUUACCAAGGCUAUGACGCGUAACUGGUCUGAGAGGAUGAUCAGUCACAUUGGAACGGAGACACGGUCCAAACUCCUACGGGAGGCAGCAGUAAGGAAUAUUGCGCAAUGGGGGAAACCCUGACGCAGCAACGCCGCGUAGAGGAUGACACUUUUCGGAGCGUAAACUCCUUUUAUCAGGAAAGCGGUACCUGAUGAAUAAGCACCGGCUAACUCCGUGCCAGCAGCCGCGGUAAUUC
rnacentral:rRNA from 1 species